CUCCCCUCCCCCAGGACCCAGGGAGGUUAUCCCGGUCACUUGUUUCCUGAAUUAAACUGCAAGUUUCCACACAUAAGUUUAUGGUCAUCAGCCUGCAAUUGUUGGACGUUGGAUGCAGCUCUACCCGUAUGUACCCAGCCACUACAUGGGAAGCAAUACUUACACUGUGGAAAACACCCACUUGCCUUAUCAAGGAGCGGAUAAAACGACCCUUAACACACUCACCCAGGAGACUGCCCACGAAUCACCCAGGUGCAUCGAGAGGAUUGCCGACAAGCAGUG